rnacentral:rRNA from 1 species
AGUGAACGCUGGCGGUAGGCCUAACACAUGCAAGUCGAACGGCAGCACAGGAGAGCUUGCUCUCUGGGUGGCGAGCGGCGGACGGGUGAGGAAUACAUCGGAAUCUACUCUGUCGUGGGGGAUAACGUAGGGAAACUUACGCUAAUACCGCAUACGACCUACGGGUGAAAGCAGGGGACCUUCGGGCCUUGCGCGAUUGAAUGAGCCGAUGUCGGAUUAGCUAGUUGGCGGGGUAAAGGCCCACCAAGGCGACGAUCCGUAGCUGGUCUGAGAGGAUGAUCAGCCACACUGGAACUGAGACACGGUCCAGACUCCCACGGGAGGCAGCAGUGGGGAAUAUUGGACAAUGGGCGCAAGCCUGAUCCAGCCAUACCGCGUGGGUGAAGAAGGCCUUCGGGUUGUAAGGCCCUUUUGUUGGGAAAGAAAUCCAGCUGGCUAAUACCCGGUUGGGAUGACGGUACCCAAAGAAUAAGCACCGGCUAACUUCGUGCCAGCCGCCGCGGUAA